rnacentral:rRNA from 1 species
UACGUAGGGUGCGAGCGUUAAUCGGAAUUACUGGGCGUAAAGCGUGCGCAGGCGGUUUUGUAAGCCAGAUGUGAAAUCCCCGGGCUUAACCUGGGAAUGGCAUUUGGGACUGCAAGGCUGGAGUGCGGCAGAGGAGACUGGAAUUCCUGGUGUAGCAGUGAAAUGCGUAGAUAUCGGGAGGAACACCAGUGGCGAAGGCGACUACCUGGCCUGUUCUUGACGCUGAGGCGCGAAAGCUAGGGGAGCAAACGGG